rnacentral:rRNA from 1 species
AGAGAUGCACUGGGUGUAAAGUGUGCGCAGGCGGUUUUGUAAGACAGAGGUGAAAUCCCCGGGCUCAACCUGGGAACUGCCUUUGUGACUGCAAGGCUGGAGUGCGGCAGAGGGGGAUGGAAUUCCGCGUGUAGCAGUGAAAUGCGUAGAUAUGCGGAGGAACACCGAUGGCGAAGGCAAUCCCCUGGGCCUGCACUGACGCUCAUGCACGAAAGCGUGGGGAGCAAACA